ensembl:lncRNA
CUAGGAAUUUGAUUAACUGUUCAGCAUUCUUAUGGCUUAGGGGUAGAAGGUGUUCAGGUGCCUUUUGGUCACUGACUUGGCACUCCGGUACCGCUUGCCAACAGCCUAUGACUUCGGUGGCUGGAGUUUUUGACAGUUUUUAGUGCCUUCCUCUGACACAGCCUGGUACAGAGCCAUUCUGUUAUGCUCUUGUAAAACCUCAGAAAACUUCAGUAAAUUCCAAGGUAUACAGAUAUUUUUGUUUUGAUUAAUUUUCUCUCCAGAAUGGGGUGGGGCCUGUUCCAACAAAGAUGUCCUAGAAUGCAUUUUUGAUGAUACCUGAAGAUUAAUAAAGUAUAGGAAAACUUCAAAACAUUGCAUUUCUAAUGUUUGUGGUACUGAUUUGACAGUCUGGUAAAGGCAGCAAAAACACUUUGAUAUAAAACAUACAAGCACAAGAUAUGGGGUGUAAUCAUUAGUCUAAACAGUCGCAAAACAAAUUCAGGUAGGUCCCUCCCCAUUUUGUAACGUUUGCUUCCGUUUAAGGAAAAGUUUUGCAACAGAAUAAGGGUAAUUCAUAUGCCCCUGCUUUGGUGCAGGGACUUCUUUUUUGAUUUUGGGGGGGAAAUGCCAAGAACAACAUGACAAAGGUAAAGUACAUGACUAGGGAAUUUGCCAGCCAACUUUUCUCCGAAGUGACCUGCUUUGUACUUUAUGAUUGGCUGACUUGCUUCUCACUGAGCCAAUCAGUACACUUUGUAACUUUUCUGUUGUAGGGCCAGAUAGGAUGUAGGUAAAAGGUCCGACAACAAAUCUUGCCAGCACCCCCUUUCCCCUCAGGCAGGCAGCAGAGGGAGGAGGACAGGCUAAGUCAAUAUUUAUGUCCUGUGAAGUGUCAAUGUUCCUGCACGUCCAGGGGAAAAAAUCCCCCCUUGUUCCCUUACAGAGUAAACACAUUUUUCUACCACGUGACUGACUGACAUCUUCCUUGGCUAAAAUACUUAUUGGUUCUGGUCCAGUCUAGCCAAGGGAGGGGACAGUGAUGAAUCAGCGGAAACACAGGCUGCCGCUGCAAGCUCAGCAAAGAGAUCAGUAGGGUAAUUCGGUAUUUCCCCAAGUCCUAGAAGGAGCUUAAAUAGAUAUACAAACAUAAGAGGAUGACAUGUUAUUAAGUUGUUAUCAGUGGAGCAGUCAGGUGACCUAGUGGUUAGAGCUUUGGGAUUGCUAAUUUGAAUCCCCAUGCUGAAAAGUUUUUCCCUCACUCAACUUUUUUUUUUUCAUUCAACUUUUUCACUCCGGACACUUUAUCUGGACGUGGUUCGUCAGGACCUCCACCAGCCGAAGCUAAGUAGUAACAUUAACAUGAUGCCUUCUAAUUGCAGUCGUUGUACUCAUAAUAUACAGGAGAACGAUCGCCUUAUGGCGAGGAUAGCUGUGCUGCAAGCCCAGCUUCAGACUCAAUCGUUAGGCAAGGGUAAUUUCAGUGAAGGAAAGGAUGAAACAGUGUCUGUGCCACCAGUAAGUACAGAUAGUAGUAUAAAUCCCCUCGCACGGGGCACAGUGUCUCCUAACCCAUCCUGUAUAAGUCUCCAGUAUUUAUGCUGUAGUAGUUUAUGUGUCGGGGGGCUAGGGUCAGUCUGUUAUAUCUGGAGUAUUUCUCCUGUCUUAUCCGGUGUCCUAUGUGAAUUUAAGUAUGCUCUCUCUAAUUCUCUCUUUCUUUCUUUCUUUCUUUCUUUCUCUCUCGGAGGACCUGAGCCCUAGGCCCAUGCCUCAGGACUACCUGGCAUGAUGAUUCCUUUCUGUCCCCAGUCCACCUGGCCGUGCUGCUGCUCCAAUUUCAACUGUUCUGCCUGCGGCUAUGGAAACCUGACCUGUUCACCGGACGUGCUACCUGUCCCAGACCUGCUGUUUUCAACUCUCUAAAGACAGCAGGAGCGGUAGAGAUACUCUCACUGAUCGGCUAUGAAAAGCCAACUGACACUUACUCCUGAGGUGCUGACCUAUUGCACCCUCGACAACUACUGUGAUUAUUAUUAUUUGACCAUGCUGGUCAUUUAUGAACAUUUGAACAUCUUGGCCAUGUUCUGUUAUAAUCUCCACCUGGCACAGCCAGAAGAGGACUGGCCACCCCUCAUAGCCUGGUUCCUCUCUAGGUUUCUUCCUAGGUUUUGGCCUUUCUAGGGAGUUUUUCCUCGCCACCGUGCUUCUAUACCUGCAUUGCUUGCUGUUUGGGGUUUUAGGCUGGGUUUCUGUACAGCACUUUGAGAUAUCAGCUGAUGUAAAAAGGGCUAUAUAAAUCAAUUUCAUUUGAUUUGAUUAGUAACUGGGUAACUUCGUAAAAAAUACAUUGGCUAAAUUAAAAAAAUAUAUAUAUAGGAUACGUAUAUAAAUGGAAAGGGGGAUACCUAGUCAGUUGUACAACUGAAAUGUGUCUUCCGCAUUUAACUCAACCCCUCUGAAUCCGAGAGGUGCGGGGGGCUGCCUUAAUCGACAUCCACGUCUUCAGCGCCUGGGAAACAGUGGGUUAUCUGCCUUGCUCAGGAGCAGAACGGCAGAUUUUUAUCUUGUCAGCUCAGGGAUUCAAUCCAGCAACCUUUCGGGUACUGGCCCAACGCUCUAACCACCAGGAUAUUGUAUGUUUCUAUUAAGUGUCAUGUGCCAGGGUUGACUAUUACAGGGUCGACAACUUCAUCUUAAAUCAGCCGUAAAUCCCCUUGUGACAGGGGAAAUGGAAGCUUGUUGUGUGCAACAGGGAGGGGCAAUUGAAUGCAAGCCUCACAAAAACAAAAAACAGGGUUGAUGUGUUACGCUCGAUCCGCUCAGUUUUCCACUACAAAACACCAGAAAAUGGACAGAAAGUGUAGAACCAGCUCAACUGCUUUACACUAAGAUUUGACUAUUAGAUACGGAUGCUCAAUACAGAAGUGGUCCGAUGAAGCUGAUGCUAAGCUACAGGACUGUUUUGCUCGCACAGACUGGAAUAUAUUUCCGGAUUCAUCCGAUGGUAUUGAGGAGUUUACCACAUCAUUCACGUCUUCGUUAAUAAGUACAUUGACGACGGUGUCCCAAAAGUGACUAUAAGUACAUAUCCAAACAAGAAGUCAUGGAUUACAGGCAACAUCCCCACUGAGCUAAAGGCUAGAGCUUCCUCUUUCAAGGAGCAGGACACUAAUCAAGAUGCUUAUAAGAAAUCCCCCUAUGUGAGAAUGCUGUUCAUUGACUACAGCUCAGCGUUUAACACCAUAGUGCCCUCCAAGCUCAUCAGUAAGCUAAGGACCCUGGGACUGAACACCUCAAUUUGCAACUAGAUCCUUGACUUCCUGACGGGCCACCCUGAGGUGGUGAGGUUAGGCAACAACACAUUCGCCUUGCUGACCCUCAACACCAGUGUCCCUUAGGUGUGCGUGCUCAGUCCCCUCCUGUACUCCCUGUUCACCUCCCACUGUGUGGCCACACACAUCUACAACACCAUCAUUACAUUUGCCAAUGACACGACGUGGUAGGCUUGAUCACAGACGACAAUGAAGCAGCCUAUAGGGAGGAAGACAAGAGACCUGGCAGUGUGGUGCCAGAACAACAUCUCUCAACACGGGUAAGACAAAGGAGCUUAUCGUGGACUACAGGAACGGAGGGCCGAAUACUCCCCCAUUCACAUCAACGGGCUGUGGUAGAGCGGGUCAAGAGCUUCAAGUUCCUCUGUGUCCACAUCCCUAAGGGCCUAUCAUGGUCCAAAAACACCAACACAGUUGUGAAGAGGGCACAACAAUGCCUCUUCCCCCUCAGGAAGCUAAAGAAAUUUGGAAUGGACCUCAGAUCCUCUAAAAAGUUAUCUGUAUCCAACCAAGGAGCUACAGAGGGUAUACGGCCCAGUACAUCACUGUAGCCGAACUCCCUGCCAUCCAGGACCUCUAUACCAAGCUGUGUCAGAAGGCCAUAAAAAGUUGGCAAGACUCCAGCGAAGUCAUACUCUUCUCUCUGCUACUGCACGGUAAGCAGUUCUGGAGCGCCAAGUCUGGGACCAAAAGGCACAUGAACAGCUUCUACCCCCCAAACCAUAAGACUGCUGAAAAGUUCAUCAAAUGGCUACCCUGAAAAUGUACAUUGACCCCCUUCAUUAUGUAUUUCUUUAUCUUAAUUGAUUAGCACCAACUCCCUUGCACUGACUCUAUGCACACUCACUAGACUCUACCCACACACUCACACAUACUACACUAAAACUCCCGCACGUGCGCACACACACACACACACACACACACACACACACACACACACACACACACACACACACACACACACACACACACACACACACACACACACACACACACA